rnacentral:misc_RNA from 1 species
GAUGAAGAACGCAGCGAAAUGCGAUAAGUAAUGUGAAUUGCAGAAUUCAGUGAAUCAUCGAAUCUUUGAACGCACCUUGCGCCCUUUGGCCAUUCCGAAGGGCAUGCCUGUUUGAGUAUCAUGAACACCUCAACUCUUUAUGGUUUUCCAUGAUGAGCUUGGACUCUGGGGGUUUUGCUGGCUCACAGUCGGCUCCUCUAAAAUAAAUCAGCUUACCAGUGUUUGGUGGGUAUCAUGGGUGUGAUAACUAUCUACGCUUGUGGUUUUUCCACCAGGUAACCUUCAGCAGUGGAGGUUCGCUGGAGCUCAUAGACGUCUCUCCUCAGUGAGGACAGCCCUGUGAACGUUUGAUCUCAAAUCAGGUAGGACUACCCGCUGAACUUAAGCAUAUCAAUAAGCGGAGGA